UGCCAAAGGCCUGGAGAGGUGCAGAGCAU
rnacentral:piRNA from 1 species